GUGCCAGCAGCCGCGGUAAUACGUAGGGUGCGAGCGUUGUCCGGAUUUAUUGGGCGUAAAGGGCUCGUAGGUGGUUGAUCGCGUCGGAAGUGUAAUCUUGGGGCUUAACCCUGAGCGUGCUUUCGAUACGGGUUGACUUGAGGAAGGUAGGGGAGAAUGGAAUUCCUGGUGGAGCGGUGGAAUGCGCAGAUAUCAGGAGGAACACCAGUGGCGAAGGCGGUUCUCUGGGCCUUUCCUGACGCUGAGGAGCGAAAGCGUGGGGAGCGAACAGGCUUAGAUACCCUGGUAGUCCACGCUGUAAACGGUGGGUACUAGGUGUGGGGUCCAUUCCACGGGUUCCGUGCCGUAGCUAACGCUUUAAGUACCCCGCCUGGGGAGUACGGCCGCAAGGCCAAAACUCAAAGGAAUUGACGGGGCCCCGCACAAGCGGCGGAGCAUGCGGAUUAAUUCGAUGCAACGCGUAGAACCUUACCUGGGUUUGACAUGGAUCGGGAGUGCUCAGAGAUGGGUGUGCCUCUUUUGGGGUCGGUUCACAGGUGGUGCAUGGCUGUCGUCAGCUCGUGUCGUGAGAUGUUGGGUUAAGUCCCGCAACGAGCGCAACCCUUGUUCACUGUUGCCAGCACGUUAUGGUGGGGACUCAGUGGAGACCGCCCGGGUCAACUCGGAGGAAGGUGGGGAUGACGUCAAGUCAUCAUGCCCCUUAUGUCCAGGCUUCACGCAUGCUACAAUGGCUGGUACAGAGAGUGGCGAGCCUGUGAGGGUGAGCGAAUCUCGGAAAGCCGGUCUCAGUUUCGGAUUGGGG
rnacentral:rRNA from 1 species